rnacentral:misc_RNA from 1 species
GGAAGUGCAUCCAGCUCAUAGUAGAUGCCACCUCAUGUAUUUACCCCUUAUUGUGGACUCUAUACAUUUUCCUUUAAAUCCUUUUCUCCUCUCUACUAAACUUAUUUUCUAGGUUUGAUCUUAAAUUUUUAUUUUGAGGCAGAAUUUUAUGGAUCACUGUAUUGUGAGCAAUGUUAAGGUCUGAGACUUUUAUGUAUAAUUAGAUAGAUCUCUAAAAAAGCAGAACC